UACCAAUCUUCUCCAGCGCACCUACUCGCACUCAUCCUUCUUCAUAUACAAGUCCACCCAUUCCUCCCCCAGGCAGAUCUUCUGAGCGAACUAAUCCAGACUAGGGACACAAAUCCUUCCGAAGAGCAUGUCUGCAUCGUCAUCCUCAAGCGGCUUCGAGCAACUCCCGCCGCUAAUCAGCUGCCCUUAGUGCGGCGGUAGGAUCUUCACCUGGAUUGCUCGGGCGUGGCAGAAUGCAGGCAUUCGGUUCUACAAGUGUGUCAACAAGGAUUCUGGAAUCUGCAACUACAUGAGGACCAAGGAGGAGUACAUUGCAGAGUUAAGCUUUCAUUUGGGGACGGCACAACAGACAGGAUACGGCAGCAGCCAGGCCGGAUCGGUUAUGAACCGCAGAGUCCGUGUGGUCGAGCAGCAGCGCAGUGUUCCAGCCGUAGGCCAAGCCAUCAGGGUUAAUCAAGCAGGCUCUUCCGUCGCCGCGCUACGUGUUCUUGUGUUCUUGGGUGCUGCCAUACUCUUUGUGGGUGUCCUUAUUUUCUUGGCGUUGCUGAAAGUAGCGUCACUCCUUAGCAGGUAGACGGUGGUCUUGGUCUUGUUGCCAGACUAGAAAUAAUGAUUAGGAAGUGUGAAGUGUGUCUUUUGUAACCCAGUCGUUGGUAAUCGGAAUCAGUUAGUGCGUCCUUUGUAUUGCAGUGGUUGGUAAUGAGAAUCCGGAAGCGUGUACUUUGUAUCCCAGUGGUUGGUAAUGAGAUUUGACUCUGGUUCUUCCCUAA